rnacentral:tRNA from 1 species
GUCAGGAUGGCCGAGUGGUUUAAGGCGCCAGACUCAAGUUCUGGUCUUCGUAAGAGGGCGUGGGUUCAAAUCCCACUUCUGACA